rnacentral:rRNA from 1 species
UACGUAGGGUGCAAGCGUUAAUCGGAAUUACUGGGCGUAAAGCGUGCGCAGGCGGUUGUGUAAGUCAGAUGGGAAAUCCCCGGGCUCAACCUGGGAACUGCAUUUGUGACUGCACAGCUGGAGUGCGGCAGAGGGGGAUGGAAUUCCGCGUGUAGCAGUGAAAUGCGUAGGUAUGCGGAGGAACACCGAUGGCGAAGGCAAUCCCCUGGGCCUGCACUGACGCUCAUGCACGAAAGCGUGGGGAGCAAACAGG